rnacentral:rRNA from 1 species
AUUGAACGCUGGCGGAAUGCUUUACACAUGCAAGUCGAACGGUAGAGGGGGCAACCCCUCGAGAGUGGCGAACGGGUGAGUAAUAUAUCGGAACGUGCCCAGUCGUGGGGGAUAACGUAGCGAAAGUUACGCUAAUACCGCAUACGAUCUAAGGAUGAAAGCGGGGGAUCGCAAGACCUCGCGCGAUUGGAGCGGCCGAUAUCAGAUUAGGUAGUUGGUGGGGUAAAGGCUCACCAAGCCAACGAUCUGUAGCUGGUCUGAGAGGACGACCAGCCACACUGGAACUGAGACACGGUCCAGACUCCUAAGGGAGGCAGCAGUGGGAAAUUUUGGACAAUGGACGCAAGUCUGGUCCAGCCAUUCCGCGUGCAGGAUGAAGGCCCUCGGGUUGUAAACUGCUUUUGUACGGAACGAAAAGGUCUCUCUUAAUACGGGGGGCUCAUGACGGUACCGUAAGAAUAAGCACCGGCUAACUACGUGCCAGCCGCCGCCGUAA